rnacentral:lncRNA from 1 species
UCGGAAUUUAAUGAAAAGUUAAGAAUUUAAAAUUAAGAAAAGAACUACUACGUCCUUUAUGAUUAUAAAAUAACAUUUAAUUUCAUGAUAAAACAGGGUGUAACCAAGGCUUUCACGUUAUAUAGUUAACCAUAAGCUUGUCUGAUACAUGCGUCUACAAACAAGUGAAUCACAAAGCAUAACUCUGAAUAUUAGAAACACG